ACACUGUUGGUUAUGUGUGCCCAAGCAUUGAGGCAGUCAAAGUAGGCAAAUCCGCUUUGAUAAUGCUGGGAUGUGAUGGGGAGCGAAAUUUAGUAGCGAAGUAGCUGAUUUCACACUGUCAAGAAAAGUCUCUAUCGAGGUUAAAGGUACCCGUACCGCAAACCGACACAGGUGGGUGAGGAGAGUAUCCUAAGGCCAGCGAGAGAACUGUUGUUAAGGAACUCGGCAAAAUGACCCCGUAACUUAGGGAUAAGGGGUGCCACCAUCAGGUGGCCGCAGAGAAUAGGCCCAAGCGACUGUUUACCAAAAACAUAGGUUUCUGCUAAGUCGCAAGACGAUGUAUAGGAGCUGACGCCUGCCCGGUGCUGGAA
rnacentral:rRNA from 1 species